ACGGAGGAUGCGAGCGUUAUCCGGAUUUAUUGGGUUUAAAGGGUGCGUAGGUGGACUGUUUAGUCAGUGGUGAAAUGCUGAUGCUCAACGUUAGCAUUGCCGUUGAAACUGACAGUCUUGAGAGUGAUUGAGGCAGGCGGAAUGUGUGGUGAAGGGGUAAAAGACAAAAAAAUACCGCAGACCCCCGAGGGCGAGGGAAGCUUGCAAAGCCACAACUGACACUGAAGCACGAAAGCGUGGGGAUCAAACAG
rnacentral:rRNA from 1 species